AAGACACUAGUAAAAUAGUUAUUACUUUACCUUGUCGAGAUAAAAUUGUGAGUUCAACCCUCACGUGUCUUG
rnacentral:tRNA from 1 species